UACAGAGGGUGCGAGCGUUAAUCGGAAUUACUGGGCGUAAAGCGUGCGUAGACGGUUAUUUAAGUCGGGUGUGAAAGCCCCGGGCUCAACCUGGGAAUUGCAUUCGAGACUGAAUAGCUAGGGUACGGUAGAGGGAAGUGGAAUUUCCGGUGUAGCGGUGAAAUGCGUAGAUAUCGGAAGGAACAUCAGUGGCGAAGGCGAGUCUCUGGGAUGAUGCUGACGCUGAGGCGCGAAAGCCAGGGGAGCAAACGGG
rnacentral:rRNA from 1 species